rnacentral:misc_RNA from 1 species
UUAAGUUCAGCGGGUAUCCCUACCUGAUCCGAGGUCAACCCAGAGUUUAUCUUGGAUGGAGGUCCAUGGAGGUCAGGCCAGCACCUAGCAAGGGACUGGUUGAUGUCUUUGAAACAGUUACUAAGUCCAUUGCAGUGGUUGAUUGUCCUGCCUAUGAAUUUCGACGGGGUGACCCAGGCAUACUGAUAGCCUCAGUUCAC